rnacentral:rRNA from 1 species
UACGUAGGGGGCAAGCGUUGUCCGGAAUCAUUGGGCGUAAAGCGCGCGUAGGCGGUCCGGUAAGUCGGGUGUGAAAAUCCGGGGCUCAACCCCGGACCUGCAUUCGAUACUGCCGGGCUGGAGGCAGGUAGGGGAGAGUGGAAUUCCUGGUGUAGCGGUGAAAUGCGCAGAUAUCAGGAGGAACACCGGUGGCGAAGGCGGCUCUCUGGACCUGUCCUGACGCUCAGGCGCGAAAGCUAGGGGAGCAAACAGG